rnacentral:rRNA from 1 species
UGGGCUCGUGACCCGGUCUACCACCGGGAUGUUCAUAACCCUUUGUUGUCCGACUCUGUUGCCUCCGGGGCGACCCUGCCUUCGGGCGGGGGCUCCGGGUGGACACUUCAAACUCUUGCGUAACUUUGCAGUCUGAGUAAACUUAAUUAAUAAAUUAAAACUUUUAACAACGGAUCUCUUGGUUCUGGCAUCGAUGAAGAACGCAGCGAAAUGCGAUAAGUAAUGUGAAUUGCAGAAUUCAGUGAAUCAUCGAAUCUUUGAACGCACAUUGCGCCCCCUGGUAUUCCGGGGGGCAUGCCUGUUCGAGCGUCAUUUCACCACUCAAGCCUCGCUUGGUAUUGGGCAACGCGGUCCGCCGCGUGCCUCAAAUCGACCGGCUGGGUCUUCUGUCCCCUAAGCGUUGUGGAAACUAUUCGCUAAAGGGUGCUCGGGAGGCUACGCCGUAAAACAAACCCAUUUCUAAGGUUGACCUCGGAUCAGGUAGGGAUACCCGCUGAACUUAAGCAUAUCAAAAGGCGGAGGAAG